rnacentral:ncRNA from 1 species
AUUAACCUUGUCAAAACAGGUACAGACAAGGGGAAUCCGACUACUUAAUUAAAACAAAGUGUUGUGAUUGUCCCUGCAGAUGCUAAGACAAUGUAAUUUAUGCCUAAUGCUCUACAUGUCAAAGUGAAUAAAUUCAACCGAGCGCGGGUAAACAAUGUGAGUAACUAUGACUCUCUUAAUGUAGUCAGAUGCCUCGUCAUCUAAUUUGUGACGUGCAUGAAUGGAUUAACAAGAUUCCCAUUGUCUCAAGCAACUAUCUAGAGAAACCACAGCCAAGGGAACGAGCUUGG